rnacentral:rRNA from 1 species
AUGGCCAUUGGCGGAGCGGCGCCGCACGACUCGCCGGGCGGGCUACCGGACUUCGAGAAGCCCCUGCUCCACGCGCACGGUGGCCUGCAAGCCGGCAAGGACCCCGCGGCGGCGCACGACCACGAGGCGCAGUGCUCGCCGGAGGCCGGCGGCGCGACGUCCCUGCGCACAUGCUUCAAUGGCCUCAACGCCCUCUCCGGCGUGGGGCUGCUGUCCAUCCCGUACGCGCUGGCGGAGGGCGGGUGGCUCAGCCUGGUGCUGCUCCUCCUCGUCGCCAUCGUCUGCUGCUACACCGGCCAGCUCCUGCGGACGUGCAUGGGCGCGUCGCCGGACGUGCGCGGCUACCCGGACAUCGGCGCGCUCGCCUUCGGGGCCAAGGGCCGCUUCGCCGUCUCGGCCUUCAUGUACGCCGAGCUCUACCUCGUCGCCAUCGGCUUCCUCAUACUGGAGGGGGACAACCUGGACAAGCUGUUCCCGGGCACCAGCCUCAGCCUCGGCGGCGUGCUCGUCCUCUCCGGCAAGCACCUCUUCAUCGUGCUCGUGUCCAUCUUCAUCCUGCCCACCACGUGGCUGAGGAACCUGGGCGUGCUCGCCUACGUGUCGGCCAGCGGCGUGCUCGCGUCCGUCGUGCUGGUCUUCUGCGUGCUCUGGGCCGCCGUGGUCGACGGCGUCGGGUUUCAGGGGAAAGGGACCAUGCUCAAUGUCAGCGGCCUACCUACUGCGCUCGGGCUCUACACUUUCUGCUACUGCGGCCAUGCCAUAUUCCCGACAUUGUGCAAUUCCAUGAAGGAAAAGGACAAGUUCUCCAAGGUACUAGUCAUAUGCUUCGUCGCAUGCACCCUCAACUACGGAUCCAUGGCCAUACUGGGCUACCUCAUGUACGGCGACGACGUCGAGUCUCAGGUGACCCUGAACCUCCCGGAGGGCAAGCUCAGCUCCAAGCUAGCAAUCUACACGGCGCUGAUCAACCCAUUCUCAAAGUACGCUCUGAUGGUGACCCCCGUCGCGACAGCGGUCGAAGAGAAGCUGCUUGCCGGCAACAAGAGGUCCCUCAACAUGCUCAUCAGGACCUUCAUCGUCAUCAGCACGGUCAUCGUGGCCCUCACCGUCCCCUUCUUCGGCCACCUCAUGGCGCUCGUCGGCUCGCUGCUCAGCGUCAUGGCCUCCAUGCUGCUCCCCUGCAUCUGCUACCUCAAAAUCUUCGGCACGGCGAGGUGUAGCAGGGCUGAGGUCGCGCUGAUCGUCAUGAUCAUCGUUCUCGGCUCCUUGGUUGCCGCAAGUGGGACUUACUCUUCUCUGCAGAAGAUCAUUCACGAGUUCUGA